GAGGUUUGAUCCUGGCUCAGGACGAACGCUGGCGGCGCGCCUAACACAUGCAAGUCGAACGGAGCUGAGAGGAGCUUGCUUUUCUUAGCUUAGUGGCGAACGGGUGAGUAACGCGUGAGUAACCUGCCCUGGAGUGGGGGACAACAGUUGGAAACGACUGCUAAUACCGCAUAAGCCCACGAUCCGGCAUCGGAUUGAGGGAAAAGGAUUUAUUCGCUUCAGGAUGGACUCGCGUCCAAUUAGCUAGUUGGUGAGGUAACGGCCCACCAAGGCGACGAUUGGUAGCCGGACUGAGAGGUUGAACGGCCACAUUGGGACUGAGACACGGCCCAGACUCCUACGGGAGGCAGCAGUGGGGGAUAUUGCACAAUGGGGGAAACCCUGAUGCAGCGACGCCGCGUGGAGGAAGAAGGUUUUCGGAUUGUAAACUCCUGUCGUUAGGGACGAUAAUGACGGUACCUAACAAGAAAGCACCGGCUAACUACGUGCCAGCAGCCGCGGUAAAACGUAGGGUGCAAGCGUUGUCCGGAAUUACUGGGUGUAAAGGGAGCGCAGGCGGACCGGCAAGUUGGAAGUGAAAACUAUGGGCUCAACCCAUAAAUUGCUUUCAAAACUGCUGGCCUUGAGUAGUGCAGAGGUAGGUGGAAUUCCCGGUGUAGCGGUGGAAUGCGUAGAUAUCGGGAGGAACACCAGUGGCGAAGGCGACCUACUGGGCACCAACUGACGCUGAGGCUCGAAAGCUGGGGGAGCGAACAGGAUUAGAUACCCUGGUAGUCCCAGCCGUAAACGAUGGGCGCUAGGUGUGGGGGAGCAGAUCCUCCGCGCCGCAGCCAACGCGUUAAGCGCCCCGCCUGGGGAGUACGGCCGCAAGGCUAAAACUCAAAGGAAUUGACGGAAGGGCGAA
rnacentral:rRNA from 1 species